ACAAAGGCUCUUUUAAGAGCCACUACAUAGACGUUAAAAGAGCUGU
rfam:Chaetura pelagica isolate M959 contig50908, whole genome shotgun sequence.